rnacentral:sRNA from 10 species
GGCUAGCACAGGCUAAAAUCGUGUGCGUUGGACCUGACUCUAUGGAGGACAGGGAUGCAAGACUCUGCGCUGUACAGAGCACUCAACUACUAUCCUUAACAGGACGAAGAUCGCAAAUGGCCGCGGUUUAGUUGUUU